AUCCUAAAUUGAACUGUGCACACCCCUAAUUGAUACCAUUUAAGAUCUAUAACUCCACAACCUUCACCUAUAUAAGAUGUAAGCAGCUCUGCUAAUUGCUAUAUCACCACUUUCUAAUCCAUAAUUUAUAUAUUAAGGGUUUUGCUAUAGUAAUCUUGAAUCCCUAGUAAUUUUUAUCCUAAAGUAGUUUAAUCCUCGAUAAUCUAAGAUAAGACUGAAACU
rnacentral:lncRNA from 1 species